UGUCUCCGGUUGUUUCAUCACCGGAUAUAAAAAGAAGCAAAGUUCUGUACCUAUUCUACUAAAGAUGCUAGGUUGACAGGGGCCUGAUACAUGAAAUUCG